UGUGUGUGUGCACGGACUCAGCAGAGUGUGUGUGUGUGCACGGACUCAGCAGAGUCUGUGUGUGUGUACGGACUCAGCAGAGUCUGUGUGUGUGUGCACGGACUCAGCAGAGUCUGUGUGUGUGUGUACGGACUCAGCAGAGUCUGUGUGUGUGUGUACGGACUCAGCAGAGUCUGUGUGUGUGUGUGUACGGACUCAGCAGAGUCUGUGUGUGUGUGUGUAUGGACUCAGC